UGGAUUAGCACCAAGGAGCUAAUUAUUUUGUGAGCUGAGAUCACUCUUUAGGAGAAGAAACCAGGGUCAGGAGCAGCAGUGUCUUUUAAAGCAUUUCCUGGAACACGGGGACAUAAAUUUGGAAGCUGCCUCAGCAAGUUGAGCACUCUGUCUCACGUGGGAGUUGGGACACUGUGAGGAAUCAAGAAUCUGCUGCUGAGGAAAUAACUAAGGAAUAACACCUAACUGUGUGAAGAGAUCUUAAGACAGCUCAUCUGGAGGUGCCAGCUGGCUCUGGACUCAAGAGAAGAAGCAGGCUCAGACUACAGUGAAUGACCACACAGACUGCUGGUAUCCAUUACUCUUCACAGAAUUGAUGCUUUUGAACUGUGGUGUUGGAGAAGACUCUUGAGAGUCCCUUGGACUGCAAGGAGAUCCAACCAGUCCAUCCUAAAGGAGAUCAGUCCUG
rnacentral:lncRNA from 1 species